UCAGGAUGAACGCUGGCGGCGUGCUUAACACAUGCAAGUCGAACGAAGCAUUGUGAUUGAUUCUUCGGAUUGAUUCACUUGACUUAGUGGCGGACGGGUGAGUAACGCGUGGGUAACCUGCCGUAUGCAGGGGGACAACAGUUAGAAAUGACUGCUAAUACCGCAUAACCCGCUAGUGCCGCAUGGCACAGACGGAAAAGAUUUUAUCGGCAUACGAUGGACCCGCGUCUGAUUAGCUUGUUGGUGAGGUAACGGCCCACCAAGGCGACGAUCAGUAGCCGAACUGAGAGGUUGACCGGCCACAUUGGGACUGAGACACGGCCCAGACUCCUACGGGAGGCAGCAGUGGGGAAUAUUGCACAAUGGGGGAAACCCUGAUGCAAGCAACGCCGCGUGAGUGAUGACGUAUUUCGGUAUGUAAAGCUCUAUCAGCAGGGAAGAAAAUGACGGUACCUGACUAAGAAGCCCCGGCUAACUACGUGCCAGCCGCUGC
rnacentral:rRNA from 1 species